AUGCGACCGGCGCACGGGUGAGUAACACGUACCCAACCUGCCGAAUAAUCGGGAGUAGUCCUUUAAAAGAAAGAUUAAUACCCGAUAGCAUAAUGAUUCCGCAUGGUUUCAUUAUUAAAGGAUUCCGGUAAAGGAUGGGGAUGCGUUCCAUUAGGUUGUUGGUGAGGUAACGGCUCACCAAGCCUUCGAUGGAUAGGGGUUCUGAGAGGAAGGUCCCCCACAUUGGAACUGAGACACGGUCCAA
rnacentral:rRNA from 1 species